UCCGGUUCUCGUUAGAUCACCGAAGUUAAGCAUCAUUGGGCGCGGUCAGUACUUGGGUGGGUGACCACCUGGGAACACUUUGUGCCGUU
rnacentral:rRNA from 1 species